AACGAACGCUGGCGGCAUGCCUAACACAUGCAAGUCGAACGAGACCUUCGGGUCUAGUGGCGCACGGGUGCGUAACGCGUGGGAAUCUGCCCUUGGGUUCGGAAUAACAGUUGGAAACGACUGCUAAUACCGGAUGAUGACGUAAGUCCACAGAUUUAUCGCCCAAGGAUGAGCCCGCGUAGGAUUAGCUAGUUGGUGAGGUAAAGGCUCACCAAGGCGACGAUCCUUAGCUGGUCUGAGAGGAUGAUCAGCCACACUGGGACUGAGACACGGCCCAGACUCCUACGGGAGGCAGCAGUGGGGAAUAUUGGACAAUGGGCGAAAGCCUGAUCCAGCAAUGCCGCGUGAGUGAUGAAGGCCUUAGGGUUGUAAAGCUCUUUUACCCGGGAUGAUAAUGACAGUACCGGGAGAAUAAGCUCCGGCUAACUCCGUG
rnacentral:rRNA from 1 species